AUGCCAACCCCUGCUUCCCGAAAGUCCAGUGCAUUAACACCAACCCCGGCUUCCGCUGCGACCCCUGCCCGCCCGGCUUCACCGGGCAGCUGCUGGAAGGGGUGGGCCUGGCCUUUGCCAGGGCCAACAAGCAGGUGUGCACCGACAUCAACGAGUGUGAGACUGGAGCUGCCACCAAUUGUGUCCCAAACUCCAUCUGCAUCAACACUCGGGGAUCCUACAAGUGCGGGCCGUGCAAGCCGGGCUUUGUGGGGGAUCAGAUCAGCGGCUGCCGGAGCCAGACGGCCCCGGGGACGCGGCGCUGCCCCAACGGCGAGAUCAGCCCGUGCCACGAGAAAGCCGAGUGCAUCGUGGAGAGGGAUGGCUCCCUGUCC